GUGGUAUGUUAAGCACAUAUACUAAAAUUGGAAUGAUAUGGAGAAGAUUAGCAUGGUCCCUGCACAGGGAUGACAUACAAAUUCAUGAAGCUCUAUAUUAAAAA
rnacentral:snRNA from 1 species